rnacentral:rRNA from 1 species
UACGUAGGGACCGAGCGUUGUCCGGAUUCAUUGGGCGUAAAGAGCUCGUAGGCGGCCACUCAAGUCGAAUGUGAAACCUCGAGGCUUAACCUCGAGCCUGCAUUCGAUACUGGGCGGCUAGAGUCUGGUAGGGGGAUCUGGAAUUCCUGGUGUAGCGGUGGAAUGCACAGAUAUCAGGAGGAACACCGGUGGCGAAGGCGGGAUCCUGGGCCAGUACUGACGCUGAGGAGCGAAAGCGUGGGGAGCAAACAGG